rnacentral:misc_RNA from 2 species
UGUGGGAGCGAGCUUGCUCGCGAUGGCGGCAGGUCAGUCGACAUAGGUGUUGACUGAUCCACCGCUAUCGCGAGCAAGCUCGCUCCCACA